CCUACGGGAGGCAGCAGUGGGGGAUAUUGCACAAUGGGGGAAACCCUGAUGCAGCGAUGCCGCGUGAAUGAAGACGGCCUUCGGGUUGUAAAGUUCUGUCGCAGGGGACGAAAAUGCCGGUACCCUGCAAGAAAGCUGCGGCUAACUACGUGCCAGCAGCCGCGGUAAUACGUAGGCAGCAAGCGUUGUCCGGAAUUACUGGGUGUAAAGGGAGCGUAGGCGGGAGGAUAAGUUGAAUGUGAAAGCUAUGGGCUCAACCCAGAGCUGCGUUCGAAACUGUUCGUCUUGAGUGAAGGAGAGGCAGGCGGAAUGCCCGGUGUAGCGGUGAAAUGCGUAGAUAUUGGGAGGAACACCAGUUGCGAAGGCGGCCUGCUGGGUUUUUACUGACGCUGAGGCUCGAAAGCGUGGGUAGCGAACAGGAUUAGAUACCCGAGUAGUC
rnacentral:rRNA from 1 species